CUCACUGUAAACUCACUUACUAGGUUUGUGGAGUUGGGUUGGAGUCUGACAAUACCUCACAAUCUCUGAGGAUGCCUGCCACGGAUGUGGACGAAAUGUCAGGAGAGAAAGCUUCUGGAACAUGGACACACAGCCCAAAAGACUCACAGUAACCCAGUCUGACAAUAGUUGCUAAGAGACGUAAAAGUGAGGCAAUAGAUAUACAGUUCCAUCCAUUUGUUUGCUGUCUCUGGUCAAGCUGGUUUUAAAGGCAAUUGAAAAUAUGCCUAAUUAUUUUAACCAGACAUGAUAGUGACAUAAUUGAAGAUAUCAAGGUCAAACUAUGCCUAACUUGUACCACAUUCAGCUCUCAAACUAGCAUCAACUUCCAGCUCAAACUGGAUAAAUUGUCACAUCAGCAUCUGAUCAAUCCCUUGAAUGUAGGAACAAACUGGCACAUUCAGCAACCAUUGUUUCAGAAAACGUUUACAGAGACAGAUAAUCAGCAAACUGACUUGCUGUUACACCUUUAUUACUCUUUUCUUCAGAACAAUUGAUGCCAUUUUAGAGCCCACGCUUACACAUCCUGUUGAAUUUCAAUUAAUCUGCACAAUUAAAUAUUUGUGAGUGUGAGUGUGUGUGUAACCACACACUCCAUCGAUAAGCAUGGCAUUUUGUCUGUAAUUGUUAGAAUGAUUUUCACACAAAUUCUUAUUGUUUUUAUUGAAAAGGAAUCGUGAAAAUAAUAUUGGCACAGCUCUAUAUUUGAAAAUCAGGCAAGGAGGGCUGCCAGACUGACCAUCAUCCUUUUGUCCCAUCUACGUCCCUCUCACCCACAAUACAACAAGAAUUCUUUAUUGAUUAGUCACUUUUGACCAUAUCAAAACAUGUAAAACAUACAAUACGUACACACUUACGCAUACAUACAAUAAAACCAUGUAAAGAUACAAAACAUCCCGACCUGCGGCCUAAUAACCUGCUCCUAGACAAAUACAGAGUAAAAAGGUUAAAAUCAGUAAUUUCCUAAGGAAAAGUUUGAACAAGGACAGGGAGUGAAAUGAUUAAUGGCAUGGCCAAGAUGGCUCUUGUGGCUCUUGAACCAGCACAUCUUCCAUUCUAGGUAAAUUCAUCCUAG